UAAUACGGAGGGUGCGAGCGUUAUCCGGAAUUACUGGGUUUAAAGGGUGCGUAGGCGGCUAUGUACGUCAGGAGUGAAAGUUUGCGGCUCAACCGUAAAAUUGCUUUUGAUACUGCAUGGCUAGAAUUAGGUUGAGGUUAGCGGAAUGUGGCAUGUAGCGGUGAAAUGCAUAGAUAUGCCAUAGA
rnacentral:rRNA from 1 species